rnacentral:misc_RNA from 1 species
UCCUGUUAUCAUUCCGAACACAGAAGUUAAGCUCUUAUUCGCUGAUGGUACUGCGAGUUCGCGGGAGAGUAAGUUAUUGCCAGGGUUUUUAUUUUAUACUUUAAACCUUGAAUUUAUUUUUUAAAUGUUUAUAUGUUUUAUUUGAAUAAAACAUUCAAAUAAUAUAAAAAAUAAUAUAUAUAUUGACAUGGAUUAAACAAAGAUAUAUAUUAUUCUAUGUUGUAUAAACAAAUUGGCAAAAUAGAGAUGGAAGAUAAAAAUAUGGUCAAAGUAAAAAGAGUCUAUGGUGGAUGCCUAGGAGCUUUAAGGCGAAGAAGGUCGUGGUAAG